rnacentral:rRNA from 1 species
UACGGAGGGUGCAAGCGUUAUCCGGAUUCACUGGGUUUAAAGGGUGCGUAGGCGGUUUGGUAAGUCUUAUGUGAAAUCUACAGGCUCAACUUGUAGUCUGCAUGAGAAACUGCCGGGCUUGAGUGUGGGAGAGGUGAGUGGAAUUCCUGGUGUAGCGGUGAAAUGCGUAGAUAUCAGGAGGAACACCUGUGGCGAAAGCGGCUCACUGGACCAUAACUGACGCUGAUGCACGAAAGCUAGGGGAGCAAACAGG